ACGCUGGCGGCAGGCCUAACACAUGCAAGUCGAGCGGUAGCACAGGAGAGCUUGCUCUCUGGGUGACGAGCGGCGGACGGGUGAGUAAUGUCUGGGAAACUGCCUGAUGGAGGGGGAUAACUACUGGAAACGGUAGCUAAUACCGCAUGACCUCGCAAGAGCAAAGUGGGGGACCUUCGGGCCUCACGCCAUCGGAUGUGCCCAGAUGGGAUUAGCUAGUAGGUGGGGUAAUGGCUCACCUAGGCGACGAUCCCUAGCUGGUCUGAGAGGCUGACCAGCCACACUGGAACUGAGACACGGUCCAGACUCCUACGGGAGGCAGCAGUGGGGAAUAUUGCACAAUGGGCGCAAGCCUGAUGCAGCCAUGCCGCGUGUGUGAAGAAGGCCUUAGGGUUGUAAAGCACUUUCAGCGAGGAGGAAGGCGCUGUAGUUAAUAGCUGCAGCGAUUGACGUUACUCGCAGAAGAAGCACCGGCUAACUCCGUGCCAGCAGCCGCGGUAAUACGGAGGGUGCAAGCGUUAAUCGGAAUUACUGGGCGUAAAGCGCACGCAGGCGGUUUGUUAAGUCAGAUGUGAAAUCCCCGAGCUUAACUUGGGAACUGCAUUUGAAAGCUGGCAAGCUAGAGUCUUGUAGAGGGGGGUAGAAUUCCAGGUGUAGCGGUGAAAUGCGUAGAGAUCUGGAGGAAUACCGGUGGCGAAGGCGGCCCCCUGGACAAAGACUGACGCUCAGGUGCGAAAGCGUGGGGAGCAAAC
rnacentral:rRNA from 1 species